GUGCCAGCAGCCGCGGUAAGACAGAGGGUGCAAACGUUGUUCGGAAUUACUGGGCGUAAAGCGUGUGUAGGUGGCUGCGUAAGUCGGAUGUGAAAGCCCUGGGCUCAACUCAGGAAGUGCACUCGAUACUGCGUAGCUCGAGUACCGGAGAGGUUGGUGGAAUUCUCGGUGUAGAGGUGAAAUUCGUAGAUAUCGAGAGGAACACCUGUGGCGAAGGCGGCCAACUGGACGAGUACUGACACUGAGACACGAAAGCGUGGGGAGCAAACAGGAUUAGAUACCCUGGUAGUCC
rnacentral:rRNA from 1 species